GACGAACGCUGGCGGCGUGCUUAACACAUGCAAGUCGAACGGAAAGGCCCCCACUUUUUUGGUGGGGGUGCUCGAGUGGCGAACGGGUGAGUAACACGUGGGUGAUCUGCCCUGUACUUCGGGAUAAGCUUGGGAAACUGGGUCUAAUACCGGAUAGGACCAUGGUUUAGUGUCUCAUGGUGGAAAAAUUAUUGUUUUGGUGCAGGAUGAGCUCGCGGCCUAUCAGCUUGUUGGUGGGGCAAUGGCCUACCAAGGCGUCGGCGGGUAGCCGGCCUGAGAGGGUGGACGGCCACGUUGGGACUGAGAUACGGCCCAGACUACUACGGGAGGCAGCAGUGGGGAAGGUCGCAAGAUGGGCGCAAGCCUGAUGCAGCGCCGCCGCGUGGGGGAUGACGGCCUUCGGGUUGUAAACUCCUUUCGUUAGGGACGAAGCCGCACCUUUUUUGGGUGUGGUGACGGUGCCUUUGUUAAGAAGCACCGGCUAACUACGUG
rnacentral:rRNA from 1 species